rnacentral:sRNA from 1 species
GUCGGGCGUGGUGGCACAUGCCUGUAAUCCAGUUAUUCAGGAGGCUGAGGCAGGAAGAUUGCAUGUUUGAAGCUGGCCUCAACAACUUAGCGAGGCCCUGAGCAACUUAAUGAGACCCUGUCUCAA